GACGAACGCUGGCGGCGUGUUUAACACAUGCAAGUCGAACGAAGUGGCGAACGGGUGAGUAACGCGUAGUCAACCUGCCCUUCAGAGGGGAACAACAGUUGGAAACGUCUGCUAUUACCGCAUACGGACGGAGGGGAUUGCGUGUGAAAGGCUGGUUGGAGGGGUAACGGCCCACCAAGGCGCUGAUCAGUAGCCGGUAGGAGAUGGUGAACGGCCAAAUUGGGACUGAGAAAAGGCCCCGGCUCCUAAGGGAGGGAGCCGGGGGGAAUCUUCGGAAAUGGGCGAAAGUCUGACGGAGCAACGCCGGGUGAUGGAUGACGGCCUUCGGGUUGUAAAGGUCUGUUAAUCGGGACGCGGUACCGGAAUAGAAAGCCACGGCUAACUACGUGCCAGCAGCCGCGGUAAUAC
rnacentral:rRNA from 1 species